UUGACCUUUUCUAUUUUUAAAUCACUCACAAGAGGGUGGGACAGGAGGAAGAGUGAAGGAAAGGUCAA
rfam:Ochotona princeps cont2.604180, whole genome shotgun sequence.